rnacentral:ncRNA from 1 species
AUUGGUACUGAAGCUAAUCUUCAGGAAGAGGGAAUAUCGUGAAAACCGAUAACAGUACCCGCUGCUGUGAUUCUUGUAGAACUCAGACAUUAAGCCACUGCAAACACUUGUGGGAAGGCGUUGUGAGGGAAAGAUAAGUCAGAAGACCUGCCAGUGAAGAA